GAGGGUAUAGCUCAAGUGGUAGAGCACAUGCUUAGCGUGCAUGAGGUCCUGGGUUCAAUCCCCAUUAUCUCUA
rnacentral:tRNA from 1 species